rnacentral:tRNA from 1 species
CAUUUUGCUCAACUGGUAGAGCAAUCGACUAAGGAUCGAUUCAUGUUGGUUCAAACCCAACAAUGACCA